GAUGAAGAACGUAGCGAAAUGCGAUACUUGGUGUGAAUUGCAGAAUCCCGUGAACCAUCGAGUCUUUGAACGCAAGUUGCGCCCGAAGCCAUUAGGCCGAGGGCACGCCUGCCUGGGCGUCACACGUCGUUGCCCCCCCAUCUACUCCUUCGGGAUUGCGGGGGGCGGAUGAUGGCCUCCCGUGCGCCUCGUCGCGCGGUUGGCAUAAAUACCAAGUCCUCGGCGACGCACGCCACGACAAUCGGUGGUUGCGAAACCUCGGUUGCCCGUCGUGUGCGGUCGUCGCGCAUCGAGGGCUCGAAAAAAUUGCCGGGCUCCGGCUCGGCUUUCAACGCGACCCCAGGUCAGGCGUGGUUACCCGCUGAAUUUAAGCAUAUCAAUAAGCGGAGGA
rnacentral:misc_RNA from 1 species